GGGGGGCUGGGCAGGGAGGGGGCGGGGUCUGGGCAGGGAGGGGGCAGGGCCCUGGCCCAAGAACCCAUGUCCCUCUGUACCAGUUUCCCAGGGCUGCCAUAACAAAUCACCACGAACCUAGUGACUUAACACAAGUUCAUGCUGUGGCUCUGGAGGUCAGAAGUUCACGUCAGGGCUCUGGCUGGGCUGCGUUUUCUUGGGAGAGAAUCCACCCCCGCCCUCUCAGCUUCAAGAGGCCACCUGCUCUCCUUGGCUCAUGGCCCUUCCUCCACCUUCGAAGCCGCUCCAACCACUGCUCCCUCACCAGCUUCCCGAGUCAGCUCUCCCUCGGCCUCCUUCUUACAGGGAUCCUGUGACCACAGUUAGGACUCGCCUGGAGAAUCCGGAGCCAUCUCCCAUCUCAGAUCCUCCGCUUCCUCAUGGCUGCAAAGUCCCUUUUGCCAUAGAAGGCACAUUCACAGGCUUGAGGAUUUGAACCUGGCGUCCAUGUGGGUUCCCCAGGGACCAUCGCCUGAGCACUUUGGCAGCUCCGAGUGGCAGCCACGCCUUCCAGGUCCCGGGUGAGAAGGCCCUGCAGCUCUCCGCCGUGCUCUGUGCACACGUCACCAUCUACUCAGCAAGCCCCUGGUGUUCCUGGCGGCAUGAAGGUGUCACGGCCCUUCCAACAGAGCGACUCCAUCCUGAAUAGGGGCUGAGUGAAAUGAGGCUGAGACCAGCUGGGUUCCAGGACCUUGGGCGUUCAGUCACCAGAUAUUACAGUUAAGGGAACAAGUGAAUAAUGUUUACCAAAAAGACCCAGGAAAUAAUGUCCUGAUGUCCGAUCUCUUAGGAACAAAAGCAUUCUUAGCUUAAGAAUGAGUUUCGCUUUGAACAUAGUAACAUAGAUUCUUGCUAGACAGUAGUUACACAAAGAUAAACAAUCCUUUGUCAGGAGCCCCGGCAGCGGAGCAACCUCCCCCGUGAUUUUUUGGCUUUCUUGUCUCACAUAGAAACUCCCACUACACCUGAGGUGGGCCCCUUCCUCCUCUUGCUUUCAGGAACUCCCUGCUCUGUCUACAGAGUAGCCAUUGUUUUAUUCCUUUACUUUCUCAAUAAACUUGCUUUCUGUGGAUUCAACCUGAAUUAUUUCUUGCACAAGAUCCAAGAACCCUCUCUUAGGGUCUAGAUUGGGACCCCUUUCUGGUAACUAAGGUAACUGGCAAACCAACCUACAACCUGGGAACCCUGGGACCCAGGAGCCCCAGUGGUCAGGCCCUUCCUUUCCUUGAGGCUCUGGGGGCGCACCCCAGGGCUGGUGCUGGCAUCCUCGCUCCUUCAGGAUCCUUGGAGUCAGUUUUCCCUGGAACUUGCCC
rnacentral:lncRNA from 1 species